rnacentral:rRNA from 1 species
AUUGAACGCUGGCGGCAGGCCUAACACAUGCAAGUCGAACGGUAACAGGAAGAAGCUUGCUUCUUUGCUGACGAGUGGCGGAUGGGUGAGUCAUGUCUGGGAAACUGCCUGAUGGAGGGGGAUAACUACUGGAAACGGUAGCUAAUACCGCAUAACGUCGCAAGACCAAAGAGGGGGACCUUCGGGCCUCUUGCCAUCGGAUGUGCCCAGAUGGGAUUAGCUAGUAGGUGGGGUAACGGCUCACCUAGGCGACGAUCCGUAGCUGGUCUGAGAGGAUGACAGGCCACACUGGAACUAAGACACGGUCCAGACUCCUACGGGAGGCAGCAGUGGGGAAUAUUGCGCAAUGGGCGCAAGCCUGAUGCAGCCAUGCCGCGUGUAUGAAGAAGGCCUUCGGGUUGUAAAGUACUUUCAGCGGGGAGGAAGGGAGUAAAGUUAAUACCUUUGCUCAUUGACGUUACCCGCAGAAGAAGCACCGGCUAACUCCGUG